AUUGAACGCUGGCGGCAGGCUUAACACAUGCAAGUCGAGCGGGGGAGGUUGCUUCGGUAACUGACCUAGCGGCGGACGGGUGAGUAAUGCUUAGGAAUCUGCCUAUUAGUGGGGGACAACAUUCCGAAAGGGAUGCUAAUACCGCAUACGCCCUACGGGGGAAAGCAGGGGAUCUUCGGACCUUGCGCUAAUAGAUGAGCCUAAGUCGGAUUAGGCUAGUUGGUGGGGUAAAGGCCUACCAAGGCGACGAUCUGUAGCGGGUCUGAGAGGAUGAUCAGCCACACUGGGACUGAGCAACGGCACAGACUCCUACGGGGGGCAGCAGGGGGGAAUAUUGAACAAUGGGCGGAAGCCUGAUCUAGCCAUGCCGCGUGUGUGAAGAAGGCCUUUUGGUUGUAAAGCACUUUAAGCGAGGAGGAGGCUCUUAAGGUUAAUACCCUUGAUGAGUGGACGUUACUCGCAGAAUAAGCACCGGCUAACUCUGUGCCAGCAGCCGCCGUAAAAC
rnacentral:rRNA from 1 species